AAUUCUCAACCAUCUCUUGAUUGAUUUCAAGAUCUUGGCUUGGAGUUGGGACUUGCUGGCACACGUCAGCUCUCCUGAAAUUCAUUAGCAAUGGCAGCUUGCUAGUCUUUUGACGUGCACGGCCUUUUGACGUGAUAAUGAUCGUCAUGGCUGGAGCGUCAUACUUAUUUGGAUUAUGCAUGAAUGGCCCAUGGCUUAUAAUGUUAUAUUAGUUUUCACUCGUCUCGAAAGCAAUGCCAAGUUUUAGUUACUAGUCAGUUCACAAGGCUGGCGAACACAGAGCAAGGUUUUGUCUGGACUCGGACUUGUGUUUCUAAUUUUAUUCUAA
rnacentral:misc_RNA from 1 species